UGGGGAAUAUUGGACAAUGGGCGAAAGCCUGAUCCAGCAAUGCCGCGUGUGUGAAGAAGGUCUUCGGAUUGUAAAGCACUUUCGACGGGGACGAUGAUGACGGUACCCGUAGAAGAAGCCCCGGCUAACUUCGUGCCAG
rnacentral:rRNA from 1 species